UUUUUUAUGGAAAGUGCGGAGUUUUCGAGUGUAGAAAUAAUAUGGCGAUAACCCAAUCGGCUAUGUUCAAAUCAAAAGAGAUGGAGAAUUAUGUAUAGUAAAAAGUCGAGUUACGCCGGAGCAUGAAAUACGUAAAGAAGGUUAUCGUGUUACAGCCAUUAUAAAUGAAACACAAAGCUUGGUUCAGUCCUGCCAAUGCGAAGAUUGUGCGGCUUCUGAAGGUGGGUGUAAGCAUGCUGCUGCACUAUUGCUAUGGUUACACAGAAGAUCUGAGGAGCCUCCGAUAACGUCCAUAACAUGUUAUUGGAAAAAGACAAAAUUAUCUAUAUGUACUUCUAGAAAAUCAUUUAUAAAAGCGAUACAAUGCUUUUAUAAAUGAAGUUAUGAAUGCUGCAAAGAAAUUCUGGAUAGAUGCUGUGUUUCCAAAAUUAAAAGAUAUUAAUUACAUGUUUUUUCUGUAACCAUUUUGUAGAUAUUUUAAAUAAAACUUUGUUUUUUAAA